CCUACGGGGUGCUGCAGUGAGGAAUAUUGGUCAAUGGGCGAGAGCCUGAACCAGCCAAGUCGCGUGAGGGAGUACUGCCCUAUGGGUUGUAAACCUCUUUUGUCGGGGAGCAAAAGCCGGACGUGUUCGGCUGUGAGAGUACCCGAAGUAAAAGCAUCGGCUAACUCCGUGCCAGCAGCCGCGGUAAUACGUAGGGAGCAAGCGUUAUCCGGAAUUAUUGGGUGUAAAGGGUGCGUAGACGGGAGUCUAAGUUAGUUGUGAAAUCCCUCGGCUCAACUGAGGAACUGCAACUAAAACUGGACAUCUUGAGUGCAGGAGAGGAAAGUGGAAUUCCUAGUGUAGCGGUGAAAUGCGUAGAUAUUAGGAGGAACACCAGUGGCGAAGGCGACUUGCUGGACUGUAACUGACGUUGUGGCACGAAAGUGUGGGGAGCAAACAGGAUUAGAUACCCCAGUAGUC
rnacentral:rRNA from 1 species